AGAAACUACAAUGCAUUGUGUUCCUACAGCUGAAAAAUGUCAACCCCAUUAAAUACAUUAACUAUAUAGACUCCCCACAUUUUGUGUCAUGCUAUAUAUAUUUAUCCGUAGAAGUCUGAUGUCAUAACUUGACGAAGAUAUCAUUAUAUACCAGCAAGGAUGGAAGUAUUAAACACGCUGAUUGGUGUUGGUGUAUUCUUGGUAUUUAUCUCACAAACUGACGCUUAUUGCUAUGCUUACGCCAACAGAUUAGGUGAAGGCCCCCGUUGUAGUAUAGGGAACCAUGACGCAGCGCUUGGUGAAACUGUUCGAUCUUUGACGGAAUGUGUACAAUGCAAGUGUCAUUUCUGGGGCUAUUCAUGUUGUGGGAUUGGUUACAAUACAGGAGCUAUGCGCAUUGCAGAUUGUAAAAUGGUGAAACUUGAUGACUGUUGUUACGAGUUUGUCCAGUCAUCCAACCCUUCCGUCAAGUGUACAGAUGUCAUUUGUCCAAGAGGUCUUUUAUAAUAUAUUGGGAAACAUUUUGUUCUGUGAAUGAAAUAAAGAAAUGUUAAAUCUUA